CACGUAGGGGGCGAGCGUUGUCCGGAUUUAUUGGGCGUAAAGAGCUCGUAGGCGGCUUGGUAAGUCGGGUGUGAAACCUCCAGGCUCAACCUGGAGACGCCACCCGAUACUGCUAUGGCUAGAGUCCGGUAGGGGAGCGUGGAAUUCCUGGUGUAGCGGUGAAAUGCGCAGAUAUCAGGAAGAACACCCAUGGCGAAAGCAGCUCUCUGGGACGGUACUGACGCUGAGACG
rnacentral:rRNA from 1 species